GACAGAGGUGCCGAGCGUUAGGCGGAAUCACUGGGCUUAAAGCGUGUGUAGGCGGAUUCCUAAGUAACCUUGUGGAAAUCCCCACGGCUUAACCGUGGGAACUGCUUGGUAUACUGGGGUGUCUUGAAGCCAACUAGAGGCAGUCGGGAACAAACGGUGGAGCGGUGAAAUGCGUAGAUAUCGUUUGGAACGCCAAUGGUGAAA
rnacentral:rRNA from 1 species